AGGAAGUAAAAGUCGUAACAAGGUUUCCGUAGGUGAACCUGCGGAAGGAUCAUUACAGUAGUCACCCAGGUUGCCGCAAGGCCUCCUGGGUAACCUACCACCCUUUGUUUAUUACACUUUGUUGCUUUGGCAAGCCUGCCCUCGGGCUGCUGGCUCCGGCCGGCGAGCGCUUGCCAGAGGACCUAAACUCUGUUUGUCUAUACUGUCUGAGUACUAUAUAAUAGUUAAAACUUUCAACAACGGAUCUCUUGGUUCUGGCAUCGAUGAAGAACGCAGCGAAAUGCGAUAAGUAAUGUGAAUUGCAGAAUUCAGUGAAUCAUCGAAUCUUUGAACGCACAUUGCGCCCCCUGGUAUUCCGGGGGGCAUGCCUGUCCGAGCGUCAUUACAACCCUCAAGCUCAGCUUGGUAUUGGGCCCCGCCGACCCGGCGGGCCCUAAAGUCAGUGGCGGUGCCGUCCGGCUCCGAGCGUAGUAAUUCUUCUCGCUCUGGAGGUCCGGUCGUGUGCUCGCCAGCAACCCCCAAUUUUUUUCAGGUUGACCUCGGAUCAGGUAGGGAUACCCGCUGAACUUAAGCAUAUC
rnacentral:rRNA from 1 species